CUUAUACGGUUUUAAUUUUAUAUAUUUUCUUUUCAUUUAACAUACCUUAGUUUGAUUGGAAAUGAAAUUUAAGAAUAUAAAGUAGACUUUUGAAUUUUGUUUAUUGACAAGAAUGUAGCUAAAUCUUGUGGUUUUCAAUGUCAUUUCAUUUAUAUAAGGAUAUGUUAUUAAGUAUAAAUAGGAAUAUCAGAAUUAAAAUUUACCAAAUAUAACAAGUGAAGUAGAAUUUUGAAUUUUGAGAUAGCAUUUAAAAAAUGCCUUUGAAAAUACAACAACAACAACCCAGUAUAAUCCCACUUAAUGGGGUCUAGGGAGGGUAGUGUGUACGCAGACCUUACCCCUACCCUUGGGUAGAGAGGCUGUUCCCAAAUAGACCCCUGACAUCCUUCCCUCCUUUCAUUUAUAUAAGGAUAUGUUAUUAAGUAUAAAUAGGAAUAUCAGAAUUAAAAUUUACCAAAUAUAACAAGUGAAGUAGAAUUUUGAAUUUUGAGAUAGCAUUUAAAAAAUGCCUUUGAAAAUACAACAACAACAACCCAGUAUAAUCCCACUUAAUGGGGUCUAGGGAGGGUAGUGUGUACGCAGACCUUACCCCUACCAUGGGGUAGAUAGGUUGUUUCCAAAUAGACCUCCGGCAUCCUUUCCUCCAAGAACAUUUCACCUUGCUUUAGGGGAGACUCGAACUCACAACCUCUCGGUGGAAGUUUGGAAGUGGGGAUUGCUUACCAUCAGAACAACCCCUCUUGUCUAAUAUAAGUCAUAACAACAAUACAAUAUAAUAGCCAAAGCAGAGAAAAGAGUAAAACAAAGAACAUCACAGUAAAGGAACAUCCAGGAACAUCGAGUGACCUUAAAUCUCCAUAUCAGUAUUCCAAAUAUUCAUGAGGUCAUAGAAACAAAUCAAGCAAAACAAAAUAUGAUCUAGCUACUUACAAGGCAACAGAGCAACUUAAACCAUGAACACCUAUCAUAUAUAAUUAAUCACACCAUGAAUAAGAUCAAAGAGGACCAAGAAAUGAACCUGAAUGGGAAACUUCGAUUAAUUCUUCCCGGAAUCUCUUCAAACGAGUACAUAAAUGAUAAGUCAAACUGAAUCAGCUACACAACAACCGAAAUGAAACCGAGACAUCGAACCAAUGGUGAAUCUCGAAUCAGCAACGGAACGACGACCUCAAACCGUUUCUAAUAUCUCAGCUCCGAAUCUGUUCGUGUGCUUGACUGUGUGUGUGUUUUAUUUUUGUGGUGGUGAGGGAGCGUUGGUGAGGUGGGAUUUCCGGCGAGGGGUCGUUUGGGUUGAGGAGGCAGAACCUGGAGAUCCUUUUCGUGUCCUCUGCGCAGCCUCUUCUGUUAUCAGGCGUGUAUCAGUCUUCUCCCAAGGCUGCGCGACUGGUUUUCCGGCGAGGGGUCGUUUUGGUUAAAGAGUGGAGAAGACGACACACAGAGGGGGGGUCCUUCUCUCUAUCAAAGGAUACACGGAAACAUAAACUAAAACGUAUUAGUAUUGACAAUUCAAAGGUUAGACGCAUAAAUCUUGGAGUCCGGAACCUAAAUAUUGGAUUUUUGGACUUAAAAUACAUUAAAAGAAAGUUACAUAUGUAUGUAUAGCAUUUAAAUAGAAGACACUAUAUCUUAACGGUCACAAUAUAUAUAACGUAUGAAAACAAAACGCU
rnacentral:lncRNA from 1 species